rnacentral:tRNA from 1 species
CGGGGCGUGGCUCAGCCUGGUAGAGCGCUGCGUUCGGGACGCAGAGGUCGCACGUUCAAAUCGUGUCGCCCCGACUA